GGCCGCGUGGCCUAAUGGUUAAGGCGUUGGUUUUCGGUAUUUCCAAGAUGGAUGUCGUUGCACCAAAGAUCUGUGUGUUCGAAUCACACCGUGGUCG